rnacentral:rRNA from 1 species
UGGGGAAUAUUGGGCAAUGGGCGCAAGCCUGACCCAGCCAUGCCGCGUGAGUGAUGAAGGCCUUCGGGUCGUAAAGCUCUGUGGGGAGGGACGAAACAGCUUGGUGAUAAUACCGCCGGGCCUUGACGGUACCUCCUUAGCAAGCACCGGCUAACUCCGUGCCAGCAGCCGCGGUAAUACGGAGGGUGCAAACGUUGCUCGGAAUCAUUGGGCGUAAAGCGCACGUAGGCGGCCCGCUAAGUCGGAUGUGAAAUCCCUCGGCUCAACCGAGGACGUGCAUUCGAAACUGGCAGGCUUGAAUAUGGAAGAGGGUCGCGGAAUUCCCGGUGUAGAGGUGAAAUUCGUAGAUAUCGGGAGGAACACCAGUGGCGAAGGCGGCGACCUGGGCCAAUAUUGACGCUGAGGUGCGAAAGCGUGGGGAGCAAACAG